CAACUACUCCCUCUGUCCCAAAUUUCUUGUCUUAGAUUUGUCUAGAUACAGAUGUAUCUAAUACUAAAAUGUGACUUGAUACAUCCAUAUCUAGACAAAUCUAAGACAAGAAUUUUGGGACGGAGGGAGUAAUUU
rnacentral:pre_miRNA from 1 species